AGAAGCUGUCAAAACCGACCCAAAAACCCGACCGUUUCGACCCGAAAUUGACCCGGCCAUAUCUUGCGAUUCUGGCCACCCCACCGGUCAAGCUUGGUACCAAUCUGAAGCUUGAAGACCGGCCAUCAUACCCAGUCGUCAUUGUCGCUGAAAGCCGACGGGAUCGUCGCCGUUUCAAGCUUGAGAAACCGCGGCCAAAACCCAUACCAUUGCCGUUGAUUCUAUUGGAAUUUGACCACGCCACCACCUCACUUUUGUUCCCCACAACUCCCUCUUCAAUUCCUGACCAUCUACAGUCACCGGGAGUCACUGUUUCGCCGCCGGCCAAUUGUUGGAAAUUCACGGCGUCGUUGCCGCAUGUGGGACCUCACCGCCGGCACUAUUAGACUCAGCGUUAUUGGAACUUUCAUACUUGAGCUUCCCG
rnacentral:lncRNA from 1 species